rnacentral:tRNA from 1 species
GGUAAAAUGACCGAGUUUAGGUAGUAAAUUGUAAAUUUACGUACGAAAUAAUUAUUUCUUUUAUCA